ACACUUAAACCCGCACCGCACCCGCAUACGCUUAAACCCGCCCCCGCCCCGCCCCAUUGCCAUCCCUACUCUUUCUGCUGCAUGUCUUAGCUUGGUGGUAUAUAAUUCUGGCAAUAUGAUCUCUAUUUUGAUUUUGCUUAAUUUUUAGUUUUUGGUUUUCUCAUUUGUGACUGCAGAUUUGUAGCUUGGUUUAGUUUCUACACCAUUUUAAUGUUGGUUGUUUUGGUUGAUUUUGCAGGUAUUCAGCAAAUUUUUGUAUCGUUAUAGUAUACAUGUCUCCCUAUUAGUUUUACCUUUUGGUGGACUGACAGAUGAACACUCUUCAUUGAAGCUAUUUCUCUAGACUCCCAAGUUAAAGCCUCAAUGAAGAGCAUUAUCAUUUUUAUAUGCAACAAAGUUAGUAGAUUCUCCUUAUAAAAGUUCUGUAGACUCUAUUCGUCUUGUGAUAUCUAAGGUGUCCAUUAAAGGCAAUUUUGUUGAUUCAUGAUGAGAUUAUGAGAUAGUCCCUCUUUCUUUUUGGUCCGGGCCAAGCACUCCAUAUGUCUUUCGGUCUUGAUCUGAGCACUCGUCUAACUACUAAGAAAGCUUGAGGGACCUUUCUUUCUGAGUUAUUGGCUACCGGUCUUACUUCUCUUGGUCUCUUCCUCUGCGCUAAAUAACUUGGCCCAGGAUAGGGAAUGCGAGCUUCUUUCACUCACUUGAGUUUGUCUGAACAUUGGAACAGUAACGAGAAAAAUGCCCCACUCCACAUUCAUAUCCUUUUGUGGCUCUUCACUCCAGCCCUAAAGUAGUGAGAUUUUAUUUAGUACCAUGUAUUGAAGUUUAGAACAAGAAAUGCUUAGACGACGAACAGACGUGCAUUGAAUCGUCGCAGGUUGCUUCCUUUUCUUGAACUAUUGUCCUUCUAAUUUCAUCUGCCGAAGAAAACUCCUUUCACUAUAUCAGUCUUGGUAUAUUUGCUCUAACAGAGGAUGGUUCAAGGAUGUAUUCAAUGUCACAAGUAAAGAUAAGAAUAAUAUUACAAAGGUAUCAGCCUUGGAUUAUAUCAUGAAGGUGAGCUUAUUCUCUGUGCAAAUUUAGAAUCUUUUUACUUUCACCUUAUAGUAAGACAAUUUAUUGUUUUUAUUGGUGUUUCGCGUUUGAAUUAUUUAACUAAGUAUGCUAACUGUUUCCAAUUAAAUUUGUGGGUUUAGACUUUAGAGCUUGACUGUUAGUACUAAAGGCUUACUUUGAUUUUUUCAGGAAACUUAUUCUAUAAUAGGAACAUUAAUUGCCAGUUGAUCAUUUUUGUAUAUCAUAGCUUCUUUUGAUGAAUCAAAGAUGAAAAUAGUAUUACAAUGUGUAAACUUGUAAUGGUACAAAUUAUUAUUGCAUGAUUUGUGUCUUUUUUCUCUUCAUGUCCAAAAAAAAGUUUCUUAAAAUGCAAUAUUGAAGGUUGGGUGUAGCUCUUCAGUGAACGAGUUAAUACUAACAUAAUCUUUGUAAUUGACUUCUUACAAGAAUAGCCACUUAAGUAAAAACGUAGUAGAGGAAAUAUUGCUAAAUCUAUUAUCAUAAAUGAGGACAUUUUGAAAGACAGAUCUGGAGAAGUUUAAUAUUGGAGGGAUUCAGUUGGUGAAGCAGGCAAAACAGUAAGAUGCAAUUUACCAAGUGGUUAUGAAUGGUACAAGGCUAUCUUUCUUUUGUAUUUCUUCUUUCAAGAUAUAGUGCUUUCCUUUCUUUUUAAAGUUUCUACUUAAAAUUUCUCAUUACUUCCAAUGUGGUGGCAACGAGAGAGAACACAGGAAGGAUCCAACUUCAAGUUCCGAGCAUGAUAUACCAGAAACACCAGAUCCAAAGCGUUUAUCUUAUGAAAUUUUAAUUUAAUUUUCUUUACAUACACUAAGGAGACUUGCUCAGAAUAGAGAGGCAGCACGAAAAAGUGGACUCGGCAAAAAGGUACUUAUCAUUCUCUUAUGUAGUGAGUUUGCUUUUCUUGAGCCGAGUGUCUAUCAAAAAACAGUUUUUCUACCUGCACAAGGUAGGGGUAAAGACUACAUACAUACAACCCUCUCCAAACUCCACUUGUGAGAUUAUACUAGGUAUGUUCCAAGCUAGAAAUUUUAAAUAUUUUUGCACUUCCUAGCUUGAGGGGGAGUGUUGAGAAAGGUGUUACAUAAGUCUUUAAAGGGUAGGUUAGUCAUUUUAUUAUACUCCACCAAUAGGAAUCUAGUAGGUAGUUAAGUUAGUUGGACAAGUGUAUUAUAUAUACAUACGUGUAUACACACAUACUGAAUAACAGAAUAAUAUUUCCUUUCUGA